rnacentral:tRNA from 1 species
GCCUGGCUGGCUCAGUCAGUGGAGCGUGCAACUCUUGAUUUCAGGGUUGUGAGUUCAAGCCCCAUGCUGGGUG